GUACUACCCUCAGAGAAGAGAAUAUGAAGAGUCCCCAUUUGGCCCAAAGACGCCUAAAUACCUGACGUGUGACAGCAAAUGCCUGUUCCCAUGGAGCUGCUGCUUCUGAGAAAGCUUGAAACAGACAAAGAAUAAGGUAGAAAUGACCUCCUCACUAGAGAUGAAAAGAAGCUGUCCUGGUGAGGAAAUUGGAUCCCAGCUUUUGCCGCUAAGAUUCUUCUCUUCUGCCUCUGGUUUUCUUUAUUGUUCACCCCCAGAAGCAAUCGCUCUCUCACAAGGCAACACACGCAAUAGAGUGAACAGUGAUUCUACAGUCUGAUUCUGGAAAAGGCGACCACAGUGGAAAGAGUGAUCCACACAAGUAUAGGGCCUCCUGAUUAAAACACUAAGAUUUCAUCUCACGCUGUGCCUUUAUACUGUUGAGAUACUAAAGAGGACACUAAAGAUCAAAGUGCUACUUUACAACAUUUUGAAGAAAACAACUGCUACCUGUGUAUUAGUUUGUGCAGAUGUGUUACACAGCUUAGCUGUGUCUGUACCAGUUUAUUAGAAUCAAAGUAUUUUUAAAGUACCUAAGGCCAGGCACAGUGGCUCACACCUGUAAUCCCAGCACUUUGGGAGGCUGAGGCAAGUGGAUCACUUGAGAUCAGGAAUUCAAGACCAGCCUGGCCAACAUGGUGAAACCCCAUCUCUACUAAAAAUACAAAAAUUAGCCAGGCAUGGUGUCACAUGCCUGUAAUCCCAGUGACUCAAGAGGCUGAGGUAUGAGAAUCAAUCGUUUGAACUCAGAAGGAGAGGUUGCAGUGAGUGGAGAUAGCAACACUGUACUCCAGCCUGGGUGACAGAGUGAGAUCCAGUCUCAAAAAAAAAAAAAAAAAAAAAAAAAGUACCUAAAACUUGUGAUAUGGUUUGGCCUUGUCCCCACCCAAAUCUCAUAUUGAAUUGAAUUAUGGGGAGAGGUCUUUCCUGCGCUGUUCUUAUGAUAGUGAAUGAGUUUCAUGAGAUCUGAUGGUUUUAAAAAUGGGAGUUUCCCUGCACAAGCUCUCUUUUGUUGCCUGCUGCCAUCCACGUAAGAUGUGACUUGCUCCUCUUUACCUUCCACCAUGAUUUUGAGGCCUCCCCAGUCCUGUGGAACUGUAAGUUCAAUAAACCUCUUUCUUUUGUAAAUUGUCCAGUCUCGGGUAUGUCUUUAUCAGCAGCAUGAAAACAGAGUAAUACAGCAUGUGAGAUACAAUGCUGAGCACUGAAGAAACAAGGAUGGCACAGCCCCUGACUUCCAGAAGCUCACACUUUAGAAAAGCAAGUGUAUUAAUAACUACUUAUGUAUAACAUUUGUGUUAUUUAGAAAAUGCAAUAAGGGCACAGAUGAAGAGCAAAGUACAGUGGUAAAGAAGAGAGAGUUUGUGAGAAAGGUACAGGAGAAAAGACAUUUAUGCUGGGCUUCAAAGGAUGAGCUGACAUUUCAAUUCCCAUCCUUAGACAAAGCUAGGAAAGGCAUUUCAGCAGAAGCAAACUGAAUAAAGCCCUCGAGACCUGGAAGUGCAUGUCAUGCCCAAGAACCAUGUAAACCUGAAAGCUUUGAGAGCUAGAUAAUAUUUCACCAACUGUGGUCAUCAGAAUCACCAAUAUUUGGGGUGUUUGUUUAAUUUUUUAGCUUCCUAAACCCUAGCACAAGCCCAAUGAAGGUGGGAAGAGGAAUCUGUAUUUUAGAAGCAACCCUUUCCCCUCCAAAUUCUUCAUAGAGUGAUUGUGAUGAAUAAAGGUUGAGGACCAUCUGGUUUAGGCUGUUCUAGGCAGGGUGGAGAUGUAGGGAAGGACACACAAUAACCCUGUUACUCGGUUGUGCUGUGGUUAUGUGCCUAUACACUAUCAGACAGACUGGUCAAUUUUGUUCCAAAUAUGUUCAGUGUUAAACAGAACCCAGUAUUGUAAACUGUAAUUACAAAUUAUAAAACUUCUGUAAACAGAAGCCUACUUCUCAUACACUGAAAGAACCAAAAGGCAAGAUGCAACUGAGACCGUUUAAAAAUGGUGAAAUGUUUUCCAGACUCCAGCUACAAGGAGAAUCCUCUUUGUAAUGCUGAGUAUCAUGAUUAAAAUCUCCCACUGCUCAGCAGCACAAAACUGUCUCAAGGAGUCUCCAAAGAGAGUCAUCUCAGAGUAUCUCACAGCAGUCCUUCCAUCCUCAAGCUUGGUUGUAUCUCUACACAGGCCUACAUGAAAGCAGAGACACUGCAAACAAGACAGGGCAGAGAGCAAGCCGGGAAGUUGGUGAACUUGGAAUUUGAUGAGCUCCUUGUCUGAAACAUGAAGCUCAGACCAGAAGAACUGGAUGCUCUAGAGAGAGAUGGACCUCUCCUCAAUGGGAAUAUCAACAUCAGUACAAAUUGAUGAUUCCAGUUAAGAAACAGACAACAGUAGUCAGAGCAGCACAUAAAGCCAGAAGGAGGCAAAAUAUUGGUAGCCACUCAGAGCUAUGCGCUUUCCCAACCUGUCCUCAGAGUGAACUGUUGCUAAUUUCAGAGCCAAGUAGUAGUCCUACUACCAACCAUCCCAAUAAUUUCACAUACCAACAUCCACAAUUAAGUUACUGGUUUAUAAACCAUAAACCACAAUUUAUCUAGGGUGUUGACUUAAUGUUUUUCAGCAAAGUUUUUUCCCUAUCUAAGGUAACAUUUCUCAUAUAAUGGUCAAGGGACCCCUACCUUGAGAUUGUUAAAAUGAAGAGACUUGGGUACCUUUCACAACUCUCUGAGGUUAGGGCCCAGGAAUCUGCAUUUUCACACACUCCCUCAGAGCAUUCUCUCUCACAAGGACUUUCCCUUCAGGGAACUCCUGUUACACUCAGUACUGAAUAGUGUAAGAGUAUUUUUGUUUUCCAUUAGAAUUUUGCUAGUGGAACUUUGAUUGGCAAUAGGAAGUGGCUGGAAUAACAUAGGGAUUUUGGUCUGCAUUGCUAUCUAACUGCCUGGGUUCCCUGUGACAUGUCUCUCAGGUGUCAGGUAUCUCUAGCUCUCAGGUAUCUCUAGCUCAGCAACUUUCCCACCCUCAUCAACCUUCCCAUCCUCAAUCCACCCAACCCCACUCUCCCACAUUAAAAUCAAAGAACUUCUACUGUAAAGUCCCUGGUUAAACAAUCAUCUUCAGGUACUGUCAAAGUAAGAUAACUAAACCAGGCUCCCUCGUUGGUACCAAUCAGAUUGGGUAGGAACUGGUAUGGACAUCAAACAGAAUUGGCACAUAACCAGGUACAGUUGCAUGCAGGCCAGCAUGAAAGUAUCAGAAUAUUUGGUUAAUUGAAUUAAAAGAACCAUUGAGUUAUUCUGACAUUGUGAAAACAUAGUCAAAAUUCAGCUCUUUACAAUGCUUUUGCAUCAUUGGAGUUGAGUGCAUCAGGGAGACUGAUAAAUCAUACAUGGCUCAUAAAGACUAAGAGCAAAUCAUAAAAUAAUAGAGCUGGAAGGGAACUGAAAGAUGACCCGGUCUGGGUUUUAUUUUGCAAAUGAAACAACCAGAGCCUGCAGAGGCCUAGUGACCAAGGUCAUACAGCUCGUUAGUGGCUGAGAAUCACAAUGUCCUAACUUCUGGCUGAGGGUUUUUUUCUAUGAUGCCUCCCCUGAGACUAAAAUAAAUCCC
rnacentral:lncRNA from 10 species